rnacentral:lncRNA from 1 species
GUGGCAUUUCACAUGAAAUUGCCCAAGUUUUCAAAGUUAGCAAUUAAUUAAGAACAAAAUACCUGAGCAGGACAAACAAAAGAAGCCUGUGGGCUGAAUCUGGCCUGCAGACUUCGAGUGUGUGAUCUAGUUACCGAGAGUGUGAGUUUUCAGGGCGUGAAAGGAAACCGGAGCCCAGUACCGUCCACAGAUACGUCGGCUUCUGAAUGUAACUCAAGCCCUCGCUGACCGCCAGUCUUGAGCGCUGGGAGCUGAGAAGCGCCCUGACUUUGGAAAGCCCUUGUAUCUGCAUGAGUUAGAAUUCCUUUGUGAAGAUAAAAAGGCUGCUGCAAAAAAUCAUGCUGGCGCUGUGAGCACUGUCAGACUGGAGGCCAUCUCAAAUGAGAUUAAUGAUGUCUGCCAUAAUGUAAGAAGAUUUAGCAUAACCAAGAUGGCGGAUUCUGCGGAAGCCUGCCAGCGCUCAUUUACUUGGAAUAAAUAUUAUUUCUAAUUAAAUUCCUAAGAAAGACCCUGCUGGUGGAGACAGAAAUCAUUGAUCAAGGAGGAAAAAUUGAGUAAAGACAUGAAAACUACUUAACUGGAAAAGGUGAUUAGACAGCAGAGUGGAAUUGAUGAUUUGGUGCCUCCUUUUCCCUGGACCAUCAUUCCGAGAGACCACACACAGUUAUGACAUAAAGUCCAGCUGAAACGUUCAUUCCAGAUCUCUCUGAAUGGGAUACAUUCAGGCUCAGGGAGCCGCUCUUAACUGACGGUGUUGCCUAGGACAGAGAGCUGUGGAGCAGCGGGGACCAGGAAUUCUGAGUGUAGCCACCACUCGCUCACUUCACAUUUGACACAUACGCAGGUAAAGCUAUUGCUGUUACUGCGUUUCAUAAUUUCAUAAAAAGGCUGCUUAUCAAGUAGCCUUUGGAGCGCUGGAAAAGAGAAUGUGCCACUCAAUAGUCUUCCAUGAAACUGUUCUCUGAAUUAACAGAAAUCUGAAGGGUAGAUGUGCUAUGUAUCUAGAUUUCUUCAGGAUUUUACUAUAUUUUUAACGGAAAUAUUAUGCUUCAUAAUUAUCAGAAUAUUUUCUGCUAUAACGAGCUGAAAUACUACAUUUCCCAAUUUCUCUUGCAACAGGAGAGCAGUCAUUUGACUAAGUUCUAAAGGGAGGGUAUAAACUUCCAAGUCUCCUUUACUUUUAACUUCUGACUCUUCUUAAAAGAGAGGGAGUACAUCCUUCAUGCUGCCUGGAAUGUGGGCAUGUGGAAUGUGAGCAUGAUGGCUAGAGCUUCAGCAGCCAUUAUGAACCAUGUGGCGGAAGCCACCAGCUGAGGAUAGUGGAAUGAGAG